GAUGAACGCUGGCGGCGUGCCUAAUACAUGCAAGUCGAGCGAACGGACGAGAAGCUUGCUUCUCUGAUGUUAGCGGCGGACGGGUGAGUAACACGUGGAUAACCUACCUAUAAGACUGGGAUAACUUCGGGAAACCGUAGCUAAUACCGGAUAAUAUUUUGAACCGCAUGGUUCAAAAGUGAAAGACGGUCUUGCUGUCACUUAUAGAUGGAUCCGCGCUGCAUUAGCUAGUUGGUAAGGUAACGGCUUACCAAGGCAACGAUGCAUAGCCGACCUGAGAGGGUGAUCGGCCACACUGGAACUGAGACACGGUCCAGACUCCUACGGGAGGCAGCAGUAGGGAAUCUUCCGCAAAGGGCGAAAGCCUGGCGGAGCAACGCCGCGUGAGUGAUGAAGGUCUUCGGAUCGUAAAACUCUGUUAUUAGGGAAGAACAUAUGUGUAAGUAACUGUGCACAUCUUGACGGUACCUAAUCAGAAAGCCACGGCUAACUACGUG
rnacentral:rRNA from 1 species